GUAAAUCAGCCCCACCGAGAGCGAAGGUCUCUGUCCGAGGGCGGGAGCGGCAGGAAACCCGCACACACCUCCACGCCCCGCGCCAACCCCAGGGCAAAGAACAAAAGCUUUGUCGCUAAGCCAAGCGAAGAGACUCACCUCUGGGGGAGCAGGAAAUGCCACCCCCGGGGCUGGGGCUUUCGGGGCUGGGGCCGGGCUCCUCGGCUGCCCCGGCCCGCCCGCCAGGAGAGGCAACAGCACCGAGAGGCGGGGGAGAGGCUGAGCCCCAGCGCUUCCUCCCAACUCGCGAAAAAAGCCUCGCCCAGGCAAAGUUGUUUGACCAUAAAAGGCGCGAGGCUGCGCACACAGCUGAGCUCACUCGCUGGGGAAUGUGGCAAUGAGGUAAAGAUGUCAGUGCAGAGCUAAAAACAUUUCAUUGCGGAAUUGCUAACCAAAUUCUGGAACAUCACAGCACCCUUUACACAAUCAGCCUGACGUCAGAGAACUCUGCUGCUGUUCCCUGGGCUAGCCUUGACUCCCGAGGAAACAAAGAAUGUCUCAGACUGAGAUUAAAAAAGUGCUGAGUGAAUA